UUGAGUUCGGAACUCAUUUCGAGCUCCUCUCAAACAGAGUUGGAAAAUGAGCUCUCGGCUCGAGUCCAGCCCUCCGCUGCUGAAAAUGAUUUGGUGUGGGAGCAUUUUCUCCUGCACAUCAUUUUACGCUGAGAGACAAGAAAAGAAGCUUGUAAGUGAAAAAUACAAAAUGGUGAACUACAUGCUGAUGAUCUGUGCCGACAUGAAGAAUCUCGCAAAACUGGAGCCGGAAGGUGGCUGUGAUGUCAUAAUCCCAAUUUCUCCUACUUCUUCAAGUGCUAGAGUUGUGGGAGGGAGGGCACUGUGACAAUGUUCUCAGGGCAAGGUAAGCCGCUGACCCGGGAAGCUAGUGAAUACUGCCCCAUGAUGUGUUAUUAGACUGCAAGGGUAUGAGCCUGCGGAUUUCAUCUUUGGUGUGGGUGGAAGGUUGAAUCUGUAAGUUUCUACUCUUCAUCCUUCCACUUUGUCAUUCAAAAUGAGAAUUAGACAUUUUUCUUCCAAGAAUUAUGUGUGGAUGUGUCAGACCUCUUAUAACUAAGGUCUAUAGGAAGAGACACAAGGCAAGCAGAAGAAGAACCUUUUUUUUUUGGUAAAUAUAGCAGAAGAACCUUGCCCUUGGGGACCUAGCACCUCUAUCACUGUGGAUAGAUAAGAACACAACUGCAUGAUGACUCACAGCUGGAGGAAUAAAGAGAUGUAAGCAGUAUAUAAGGACAAGCAGAGAGGAGAUGAAGGAGAGGUAAUAAAACUGAAUGGUUUAACUGGGGCUGACUGCCUUUGGGGACCCAGCACCUCUAUCGCUGUGGAUUAUUAUUCCUCCUUUUCCUCUUCUAUUGUCUUUAGCCUGUAAGCUGGAAUUCUUCUAAGACUUUCUUCCAGUUGAAUAAAUAUUUCUACAUGCUGUUUAGUUUUAUUGUUGAAGCAAACAGAUUGCAUGUGUGAUCACUGCUGAAAAUUGUCUAAAUCACUUGAGUGGGUGUUGUGCUAAUCGGGUUGUCAUCAUGGAUGUAAAGUAUAUGUUGCAAUUCAUGGUCCAGACUAUGACUGUACAAAUUAUAUCUAGGUAUCAGAUAUAUUACAUUUCAUUUCAUUUGAGCAGUUUUUUAUGGAGUAUCGAAGGUGCUCUGGAAUGUUUGAGAAUGACCUCUGUUCUUGUCAAAGAAAGCUUCUUGAAUGCUGCUCCACUGAGAUCAUCUGGGAGAGAAUUUGCGGCAUUAUGAAAACUGAAAGGUGAAAGGUAGGCUAUCAUCCAUCCGAGAAUGGGUGUUGGAAAAUGAGUUUAGUUGAGAAGGUUUACACGUCUCAUGCAAGAAGAAGGUAAGGUGUAGGUAGCCAGUCUCAGCCCAAAAAAAAUUUCGACUAGACUUCUCAUCGGUUCGGUAUGACAUCAGUGCAGCUUAUUUAUUAUGAGAGUCCAAUUUCAAUGGGACUUCGUGUUUGCCUCCUUGUCAAAUUAUCAUCUUCUUCUUGCUUUUGCUUUUCGUAUAAGCAA